rnacentral:rRNA from 1 species
AUUGAACGCUGGCGGCAUGCCUUACACAUGCAAGUCGAACGGCAGCACGGGAGCAAUCCUGGUGGCGAGUGGCGAACGGGUGAGUAAUAUAUCGGAACGUGCCCAGUCGUGGGGGAUAACGUAGCGAAAGCUACGCUAAUACCGCAUACGAUCUAUGGAUGAAAGCGGGGGAUCGCAAGACCUCGCGCGAUUGGAGCGGCCGAUAUCAGAUCAGGUAGUUGGUGAGGUAAAGGCUCACCAAGCCGACGAUCCGUAACUGGUCUGAGAGGAUGAUCAGUCACACUGGAACUGAGACACGGUCCAGACUCCUACGGGAGGCAGCAGUGGGGAAUUUUGGACAAUGGGCGCAAGCCUGAUCCAGCAAUGCCGCGUGCAGGAUGAAGGCCUUCGGGUUGUAAACUGCUUUUGUACGGAACGAAACGGUGAGCUCUAAUACAGUUUGCUAAUGACGGUACCGUAAGAAUAAGCACCGGCUAACUACGUG